CCCAGAAUGAAGUGGGGGACACUGUUUGCAGUAUAUAUAUAAUUAUACAAAUCGAGCAAAACAGCGCAGCAGGGGAAAAUUGAAAUUACAAUUUCUUACAUGGCCUAAAAUUGGUGUAUCAGAAGAAGAUGAAGCUGAAGAUUUAUUUAAUUUACCUUUAAGACUUACUUUAAGGACUACAAUCAGGGGCUGGCAGAUGAUUAUUUCAACACUGUUCUUUCUGGGGUCUGCAAACUCUCAGUGGCAUCUCUACAAAUCUAGACUGCAUUGGAAGCCAAAAAUCAAUUUUAUUUAAAAGGUCCGUCAACCAAUUUGUGGAAGUCAUAAAAUGAAAAGAGACCCACAGGAUAAUUAACUGCCCAGCUGGGCACACUGUUGUUUGCCAUUUGGAGGGUUUGGCACAUCAAAAAGCUGCAGAGAGUGGGAGAAAUAUUGGAAAACGUUUUGAAAUUUCGAUUUUCACACCAUUUUGAGGACAUCAGAUGGACAGUGAGGGCAACAAACCUUCCCCUGGGUUUGUAGCCCUGACUUCAGUCAGGUGUCUCACUUGGAUAUAUCAACAUGAGGUACAGCUCAAGAUCUGAGAGCAGCAGAAUUUUGCCCAUGGCAGAAACUGAUGUAACUCUCAUUUUCUGUCUCAUCUGACAGUUUGGCUUCUUGCUUCCCAAAAUCUUUUGAAAGAGAAAAAUAAGAGGUUUUUUUUUGUUGCUGUUGUUGCUGCUGCUGUAUCUUAGCUGCAAAAAUCAAGGGUUCAGCCAGGGCACAGCAGGGAUUAAAUUGAGAGGGCACUGGUUUCUGUACCAAAAAAUUUGAAAACAGAGACAAUGAGGGCUGGAAGAGGGGGGUGAUUUGUCUUAGUUACUCUUUCCCUCUAGGCAACCACAGUCCCUUAACCAGAGCUAAACCAGGCUAACUGCAAUCCUCUCUUUGAAACAUUGAUCAGCUCCCAGUCCUAAUGAACUGGCUGGGAAUCAAUUGUUAUUAAAAUCUGGCUGUUCCCUAAUCAGGAAAAAAAAAAAAAAGAAAAAAAAAAAAGGAAAAAAAAGAAAAAAAAAAAAGAAAAAAGGGGAAAAAAGGAAAAAAAGGAGAAAAAAUAAAAAAUAAAAGAAAAAAAAGAAAAAAAAAAGA
rnacentral:lncRNA from 1 species